UCAGACAUGGUGUAGUGGGAACACGGCCUCUCUUCCUCGUAGAAGUACCACCAGGUUCCAGAGGCAGUCCAGGGUUUGAAUCCCUGUGUCUGAA